GGCGUGCCCUCUGGCUAAAGAGGAAGGCCUGUGGGAGUCGGGGCUCUUGUACACUCCAGGCACAUUUCUCAUCCGGGCUCUGAGUCAAGAGGGUGUCUGGUCUCUGGAGGUGGAGCGCCAGCCGAUCUGCUCCCUGCCGUCCUGGGGACGGUUGCUCAGUCCGUGCCCUGCGCCUGGGCAGAGGCCGCAGCCCUCAGCGGCCAGGAAGUCGUCAGCCCAGCAUCGCUCCCAUGUCCCAGUGGGAAAGCCACACCCGAGAGGGAAAAGAAGAGCCACUUUGCAGUCGCUGCUUCUCGUAUCCGGAAAUUUCUUUCUCCGUAGCCGGAGUUAGAGCUGGUUUCCUGCUGAUAAGCAUCUUUCUUACUUCUUCUCUGGGGAAGUGAAUCUGUGGAUGACAUUUCCCCCAGCAGCCCCCGAACCCUCAGUAUUUCUCAGACGCAUGGUUAUUUGUCCCGUCUUGCAGACGUAUCGAUGUCGCCCGUCCACUUAGGAACACUGGCAGAGCUGCUGGCCACGGGCGUCUUCACCACAGCAGGCCAAGCGAUGCAGCGGGGACCAGAAUAAACUCAGCCCCUGGUCCAGACAGAACAUUCUUCUAUGCCCCAGAGAUGAGCCUCUCAGUGUCCCUGCAGAUGAGGAAACAGAGGACCAGAGAGGUGGAGUGAAUUGCCCUCGGCCACAGAGCUGGGACAUGGUGGGCCAGGGGCUGGAAGCUCAGGCUUUCUGACACCAAAGUGAAGGCACUCUUCUCAUGAUCCUGGAUCUCUCUCUCUUGAAAAGUCCAGAUUUGGACAGAUGGUCUUGAAAAUCCAGUUGGUCCAGAGCGUGUGACCUUUUAUGCCGUCUCGGAGCUGUGGAAUGGGCCCAUAAGCCAGCAGCAGGCACGGACAUGGUUUCGAAUUAGACUGGGUCAGCAGCUGCAGGCUUGGGCGUUAGCACCACGUGAUAUCAUGCACCGUCAGCCCUGAAGUACCUCGGGCUGGCACCAGUGAACUCCAGGGCCGCUGGGACAUGGAGAAAGCCAUGGAAAAUAUGCUGCCUACUCUCGUCCCUUCCUGGUCCUCAAAGCCCAGAAGACCUGUUAUUCAGAGAUUUGAGAUUUGCGCAAACCCAGCUCAGCAGCAAGUCCUCGUGUAGCUUGGUCAGUCAAACAGAGAGGAGCCAAAACUUUGGAAAGAAUCAUCUCAGAAAACCAGAGAGGCCUUCUCAGGGUGCAGAGGAGCUGGGUCCUGCUGGCCUCUCAGUCCUGGGAGCAGCUUUGGAGAAGUCCGCUGGAGGGACCACGUAUGUAUGAGUCGCUGGAGGGACCACGAAUUAGUCCUGCCCGGGGCAACUGAGGCGGGGCCUCGCCACCACACGUGCCACUCUGGGGCGACCAGAUGGUUCCUCCGUCAGCCUGUUAUGUACUGAAUUUCCACCACGUGAGAUUUCUUCCUUAGGCUAAGUUUCUUGUAUACCGGAAAACACCUAGUAAAGUCUGAGUAACAGGACAGCUUGUCACCAGCCACAAACACCUCAUGGUGGCCUUAUUUAUUUGGUAACAGACAACAGGGCGUUGGCGCCGUGGGAUGGAGGACAGCUAACUUUUGAAUGUCACAGGCUCCAUUGAGUUCCCAGCCUCUGUGUCUUUGCUGUUCCUUCUUCUGGGACCCCUUGAACCCAUCUCUGGUGUUACGAUUGCUCCUGACCCAGAGUAAUUGGGUCUCAGAUUUUAAGUCUCCUGCAUCUUUUCUCCCUGUCCCUCAGCAAUCUUCUGCUUUAAUUGUCCCAGUUCUGGGUUCAAGUCUUUAUGACUUGAGCUGGGAAAUGCCAGAGUGGAAAUUUGCAUUCUAGUAUUUAGGAAUCUUGAUUGACCCCGAGGUCUCUAUUUUAAUCCUGAUGAUGCUGUUGGAACUACUGUCCUAAUGCAUUUCUGGCUGUUUAACUUGGGGUUCUGGUUGGUGGGGUCGGCAGAAGCAUUCAACCCCGGUGUCCACGUCCUAAUCCCUGGAACCUGUGCAUAUGUGACCUUACAUGGUAAAAGGGAGCUUGCUGCUAUGAUUACGUUAAGGCUCUUGAAAUGGGGGAGAUUAUCCCGGAUGAUGGUGUGGGCUUGAUGUAAUCACAAAGGUCCUAUCUCGAGGGAAGCAGGAGGGUCUGAGUCAGAGAAGGUGUGAUGCUGAAAGCAGAGGGUGGGUUGAUGUCACUGAUGGUCCUGAAGAUGGAGGAAGGAAUCCCAAGCCAACGAAUGCAUGUGGUCUUGAGCUGGAAAAGGCAAGGAAACAGAUUCCUUCCUGGAAUCUCCAGAAAGGAGCCCAAUCCUGCCCAGGGAACCCCAUUUCAGACUUCUAACGUCUACAACUGUGAUAUAAGAACUCUGUUUUUUUUUAAGCCGCUAAAUCUGUGAUAAUUUGUUACAGUAGGAACAGGAAAUGAAUGCAUUUAGGAAUAGGGUCAGCAGAGCUGGUAUGGUGCUGGUAGAUAGCUCUCAGGGUGCUGUGAGGUCUCCAGUAGAAACAGUGGGUGGGCUCUAGCCUCUCGAGACCACAGUCAAGCUGUGGCCAUCAGACCUAAGGCGAAUGACUCCAAUGACAGGUAUAGAGCGACAUACACCAAGGCGAGGCUGCAGACCACGUGCAAAUGAUGGAGAUGCUGCUUCCAGUCAGCGGGUUCAAGGGAGGAUCUGAAGUGGCAUUUGAGUUGGUCCUUAAGGGAGGGUAAGGUCCCACAAACGGGCAGAGGGAACAGUAUGAGGGAUGGCGCAGAAGUGGAAAAGCACAGUAUGAGUCUAGAAGUGGGAAGAGAGUUGGGUUUGGAGCCAGGGGUUUGUAUCAGAUCUGCCUACAAGCCAUAGAAAAUUGCAGCUCACUGCAACCAGAAAGAAGUCCCGAGGCAGGGUACUUCCAGGAGAGCUGAUACGACGGCUCACUAUCUUGCCAGGGACCCGAGUUCUUUCCAUCCCCUGUCAGCCCUCCUUGCCUCCCAGAUUUUGCCAUAGCCUGUCUCCCCAUGGCUCCAGGAAGGCUGCUGCUGAUUCAGAUGGAGAUAAAAUAGUGUCUAGCAGAGGACGAGGAACUAGCUCUUCACAGGAGUGUCUGUAUAUCAGCAAAGAAGCCUUCUCUGGAAGUUGUCACUCCUCUUCUUGUCCGCAUGUUUCCAAGGCGAGAAUUGGGCUGGCCCAGGGAAGCAUGUGUGUGGACGGGGCUAGAUGACCAAGUAACACGGGGGUUCUGUUAGCUAGGAAGAUGAUGAGAUGGAUAAGCAACCACAGAUAUAUGCCACGAGAGAUGUGGGAUUGGGGAUGGGAGAGGGAGGAUGGGUGGGUCUUGAAUGCCAAGCAGGUCUUGUCAGUUAAUUUUCUCUGGGUUGGGGAGCCAUGGAAGGUUCUAGAGCAAGGGUGUGACCUGACCAGAGGUGAGCUUUUGAGAUCACUUUGGCAUCAUUAUGGAGUGGAAGUGAGUCCCUGGAGGCCGGAGAGGUCAGCUGGAGGCUACUGCACGUGUCCACCAGAGAGGGCUGUGGGAAUGAAAAGGACAGAACGGAAGUGAGAAGCGUCGCGGUGGUAGAAUGGAUGGGACUGGGAGCCAGGCCUGUCCUUCCCCACAUGGAACCCACCACCGAGUCCUGCUGCCACGGAUCUGUCAGCUCUCUCUGUGGUCACAGCCGAUACCCUCUUUGGUUGACCCCACCCUCCCGGCUGCCAUUGCUGCUUUCCCGUGAUCUGGGGUGCCUCUGGUGGGCACUAUCUACAUUUUGGGUCAGAUGAUCGCUUGUCGUUGGGGCACUGUCCUGGGCACCGCAGGCUGUUCAGCAGCCUCCACCUAGGAUGGUGAUGGAUGCUUGUGGUGCCCCCACCCCCCAGUUUUGACAACCAGAAACAUCUGUGGACGUGACCGCAUGUUCCCUGAGGGCAGAAUCCGCCCAGGGUGAGAGCUGCUGCUCCAACCUCUCCUCUGUAGCUGCCUGAUGGAUCUUUACAAUGGCAUAUCUGAUGGGUCUUUCCUCUGCCUCCUUUGGCAAAGCCUUUGACUUUGGUACCCAGCUUCUCCUCCUCCCUCUCUCCAAGCCCGCCCCAGUCACACCGGUCUUCUCUCCACUCCUCUGCCUUCCCCGUGGAGCUGUUUCCUCUGCCUGGAACCUCUCCCGUCUUUGGCUGGCUACUCCCAGGCAUCCCUCAGACCUUGGAUCCAAGGUGACUUCUUCCAGGAAGCCUUCCGUGAUUCCUCCAAGUCUCUUAUUUCAGGAGGUGCUGGCCACUUGCGAUUGCCGCUCUUCCCUCCUCCCCAUAACCUGAGACUUGCCUCCCACCCACUUCUCAGGGAUGCUUUGAAGAUGGAUGAGAGUGUGUUUUCCCAAAGCUCCCAAGGCCUCCUGGGGCCUCAUCAGGCCAGUGUGUUAUUAACUAAGGCACAAUGACAGCAGCACACUAGCCUUAAUGAAUGUUCUCUAAACAUCCUGUCACUGAGGCCAGAGGCAGGCGUCAUUAGCUCCAUUUUAGAGAUGGGAAAGCUGAGGCCAGGAUCAUCAUUUGUGACUUGCCCACAGGGUCACGAUGAGUCAGUGGAGGCCUGAUGCAGCCUUUCUCUCCAUCUCCUUCCCUCCUGAGAAAAGGACGGUGAGAAAGAAGAAUUGGGGCUUCCAUCAGAACCUCUGGCCUUUCCUUAGAGCCGGACCCGUGGCUCCAGCCUGGCAGAGCCGGUCCUAGGCUGGAGUGAAGACUAAUAAGGAGGGGGAGGCCGGAGCCCCCUUCCUCCCUGAGAGCAGCCCUCCCACAGUGCUGGAACACCAUCCCCCAACCUUCUCCAGCUGUUAUUUUGAGACCCAGACUAUGGACAGGUUGUGCUCCGUGUGUGUGUGUGUGUGUGUGUGUGUGUGUGUGUGUGUCCUUGUUCUUGUAGCCUGAAAGGGAAGAAACUGAUAGGGAGGGAGGUGGCAAGGAGGGCAAAGGACUCACAUUUGUUCAGUGCCUUUCAUGUUGCCUGUACUUUACGUGCAGUUUGCCAUCUCAUUCCCAUUCUACCGAUGAGGCAACUGAGGCCUAGGGGCGUAAGCAAUUCAUAUCAAUUGCACAACAGGUGAGAGGCAAAGUUGAGAUUCCAACCCAGGCUCCCCUGGCUGGAAAGCUGUUGUUUUGGCAGCAGCCCACCCUGCCCCUUUGGAAUUUCUCUGGGAGGGGUGUGGCCUAUAUGGUGUGCGUGAGUGUGCCACCUGGGCCACCAUACAGGGUCUGCAUCCAGAGGGACUCUGCCCUUGGUUUAAUUGGCUCUGCUGUUACUAUCUGGAAAUUCUUACUAAUUUUUGAACAAGGGCCCUGCAUUUUCGUUUUGCCCUGGGUCCUCAAAUUAUGUGGCUAGUCCUGGGUCUAUGCACCAAAGGCUGUAGGACCAGAUGCUUCUAAAUUGCCAAGGGCCUUGGGCCAGUCACCUCAGCCCAGUGUCCCCAUCUGCACCACGAGGAGUCUGGGGGAAAGGGCCAGCUCAGGCUGGCAUCAUAGUCACUGGGCCUAGCCAUAAGGGCCUGGUGAGGACCUCUUGCGGGAAGAAGGGCCCCAAUGGAGAGAGAUCCUGGGACUCAGCCUGGGAAGUCCUGGUACCUGGUCAAGAUUGAGAGUGACUGACAGGUGCUGGAGAGCAAGGAAAGGGGACCCAGGAGCCCUCUGGGCUGUGGCAGGCUGGUGGAGGGCCCUCCUCCAGCUCUUAGUUUAAGAACUUGCUGAAAAAUUGUUGACCUAGAUAAUUCUGACUUUUUGAUGGUCAGAACUGCAAGGGAGGUGUGACUACCUUUUUCUUUCAAAUAAGCACACUUGGACUACUUUUGAAGCUGUCCCCAGAAGAGACUGUGGCUGGAGAUGUCACUGUACCAGCGCUUUGUACCCUGAGCUGCACUUGUGGGGGGCGUGGAGGGUUCUAGGUGAGUUCUGACACUUGCUCACAGUUUUCCACCUCAGGCACCAGAUACCGAGUCUGAUUAUCUGCCUCAGGCCCAGCAGCAAGAGCCCAUUCAGCCUUGUUCAAGGAUAGCCUGGGAGUCGGAGGUCCUGGAAGAAUCUAGCUCCCGGGGGCCUAGAAGGGCAACUUUAAGACCAUACAAUUGUAUUGACUUUUACUUCUUCUCUAACUUAAGUGCCCCCCACUUCUCGUUCCUGCUUCUUGGGCUCAUCUCCUAAAUAAUCCGUGUGAACCCUGAUCCUUGUCUUAGCCUCUGUUUUUCGGACGACACAAAUAGUUGAGUCACUUAGAGCCUUGGUAUUCCCUCUCCUGGACUGACCUUCUGGAGCUGACGCCUGAUCUCUUGUAUCCCUUGGAGCAUGGCAAACUGCUCAUCUUCCAGGAGCGGGGAGCUUUCUGGCAAUCGCCAAACAUGAUCCAGUGAGGGGAGGAGGUGGAGCGGCAUGGGGGCUGCUGACUUAGAAUCAUGAAGGAUUUCGGGGUAAAGGCAGGGGUGAUGGCUUUUUACUUUUUAAAGUAAAAGCAAAGGCCCUGAGGUGGGAGAGAGAACAGAAAAGAGGCAAAGCCACAGAAUGCAGAGAGGCGAGGAAGAAGCUGGGAGGCUGGCUCGUGCAGGACUUUGUAAGCCAAAGUCACGUUCAAGUCCAAUCUUGGCCACUAGCUGCUUCGCGACCUUGGCUAUGUCCCUUUUGCUCUCUGGGCCUUGUCUUCUCAAAUACCAAGUGAGGGCUUGGCAAGUCGUUUCCAACUCUAGAAUAUCUGCUUUUAAAAUCCACCAAUGCCAAUUGAGUCAGAAUCUCUGGAGAUGAGGCCUGAGAACCCAUGUUUGUCACACCCUCCCUCCUGGCCGGCCAGGUGAUUGUGGGCAGCCAGAAUCAAAAAACACUGGGCUGGGUCUUGGAGGCAAGUGGCAGGAGCUCCCAAUGGACACAUCUCCGUCCCUCUGUCUAUGCUGCUGUUUUUCCAAAGCUUGGACCAGCUUCAGCCCAGGCCAGCAGCCUGCCUCACCCCCAAACCUCCAAAUCCCAGAGCAAGCCGGUUGGACCCGCCCAGGCCCUUCUUCCUACCUACCCCUGGGACCCCAGGGCCGGAGGGCACAGGGCAGCGGCCACCGUGGGCCCAGGGACAUUUUGUUUACGGUGCACAUUUCACUUCUACAGGGAGCUGCACAGCUGCGAUCUUGCCUCAGAGCAGUUGCCAACAACGGGGGGCGGCCUUCACCCCGCCUGCUAAUUUCCCAAGUUCCUCUUUUGGGCAUGUGCCUGUCCCUCCGCGUUCCCGUGGCUGCGUGGAAGUGGACCGAGGCCCAGAGGGUGACUAAGGGGGGAAGCCCCUGCGCCGCGAGGCUCCCAGCGGCUCCGGGAUUGUGUAAGGCCUAUUUCUGAGGCGCUUGCAGACGAUGUGAUGAAUCAUAGCAAACACACAUGGCUCUGGGGGGGACGGUCCUUCCUCAUGCUGCUGUGGAAAGAGGAGCUUCUGAAAAUGAAUCAGCAGCAGCCGAACCCUGGGUCUGUGGGAGGAGGAUGAGGGUGCGAAUUACACAUUUCCAAAGUAUUGGGGUGUGGCCUCCGGAGCCUGGGCGUGGGGGCCGUGGGGACUCCAGGCUUUGGCUUCCUCAGUGACUCAAAAGGCCUCCCUCACCCACUCGAGCCCACCACCUGGAGCCUAGGGACACUCCAUCAUGGAACAAAGUCCUGUGCCCUGGCCCGGGCCUGGUAGACUGGCGGCCUGGUGUAGCUCAUUCAUGGCCACAUACGGGCUCUGAAUCCAGGAGUCCCCCACAGACCUGGGUGGCCCUGGGUGGCUCUGGGUGAGAGAUUCCUGACCAGGAGGAGAAGGCCUGGACCACUGCUCUUCAGGGAGACAGGCAGGCCUCAUCCUCUCCCCAAGCUCACAGGCCUGAGAGCUGAAGGGCAGAGCUGAGUGGCCGUUGGGAGCCCCUCAACUUCGGAAUUAGACAGUUCUGGGUUUGAGGUGGAAAUCCGAUAUGGCCCCGUGGAGCAAAUGCUGGGACAUCGUGGAACCUCAGCUUUCUCGGUUGUAAAGUCAGGAAAUAUAUCUGCCUGGUGAGACUGUUACUAAGAACAUGCAGGGAUUGCGUGAGGCAGCAGGAUAUACACGCCGAGAAGCCAGAUUCUAGGGGUGUCUGAGUGGCUCAGUGGGUUAAGCCUCUGCCUUUGGCUCAGGUCAUGGUCUCAGGGUCCUGGGAUCGAGCCCCGCAUCGGGUUCUCUGCUCAGCAGGGAGCCUUCUUCUUCUCUCUCUCUUGCCUGCUUCACUGUCUACUUGUGAUCUCUGUCUGUCAAUAAAUAAAUAAAAUCUUUAAAAAAAAAAAGUAACCAGAUUCUAUAGCCAGAGGUUUAACUCCUCACUCUGCUACUCUUCAGCUGUGUGUCUUUAAGCCGGUUAUUUAACUGUUCUGUGCCUCAGUUUCCUCAUCUCUAAAUGGGGAUGAUAUAAUAGCACCUACCUUAUAGAGUGGAUAGAUAAGCUAAUAUAUAUAAAAUUGAAAGAAGGAUGCCUGGUACCUAAGGAGCUCUGGGUGAGUGCUGGCUAUUGUUACCUAAGUUGAGUAUCAUCGCAAGUUAUCAUGCGUAGAUCAAUGACAGCCAGGGCUCAAGAAGGAAUAGUUGUCAUCAUUAUCGUCAUUACUAUGUUUUUCCUGGAGAGCUGGAGUGGACUUGGAUAAAAGCUGGAGCCAGAACUGGCAUUGGAGAGAGGAAAAUCUGAAGUCAGUGACAAACAAUCCUAAAAUGUGUAUGAAACUACAAAAAGCCCAAAGAGCCAAAGCAAUCUUGAGAAAGAAGAACGGAGCUGGAGGCAUCAUGCUCCCUGAUUUCAAACCCUACUACCAAGCCAUAGUAAUGAAAACAACAUGGUACUAGCAUGAAAACAGACACGUAGAUCAAGGACACCGAACACAGAGCCCAGAAGAAACCCACACAUAUAUGGUCAAUGAAUUUACAACAAAGGAGCCCAGAAUAUAUAACAUGGAAAGGAGAAUCUCUUCCAUACACGAUGUUAGAAAAACUGGACAGUCAAUGUGAAAGAAUGAAACUGGACCAUCAUCUUACACCUUGUGGAAAAAAUUAACUCAACAUAGAUCAGGGGCUCCUGGGUGGCUCAGUUGGUUAAGCAUCUGCC